UGACCCUGUUAGCCAGCAAGGCUGAGGCUGUGCUGGUUGUGCUUGUGUCAGGUGCAAGGUGCACAGACCCACAGCACUGGCUGCCUUAAGACA
rnacentral:miRNA from 12 species